rnacentral:rRNA from 1 species
UACGUAGGGUGCAAGCGUUAAUCGGAAUUACUGGGCGUAAAGCGUGCGCAGGCGGCUUUGCAAGACAGAUGUGAAAUCCCCGGGCUUAACCUGGGAACUGCAUUUGUGACUGCAAGGCUAGAGUACGGUAGGAGGGGAUGGAAUUCCGCGUGUAGCAGUGAAAUGCGUAGAUAUGCGGAGGAACACCGAUGGCGAAGGCAAUCCCCCUGGACCUGUACUGACGCUCAUGCACGAAAGCGUGGGGAGCGAACAGG